rnacentral:rRNA from 1 species
UACGGAGGGGGCUAGCGUUGUUCGGAAUUACUGGGCGUAAAGCGCACGUAGGCGGCUUUGCAAGUCAGAGGUGAAAGCCCGGGGCUCAACCCCGGAAUUGCCUUUGAGACUGCAUCGCUAGAAUUGUGGAGAGGUAAGUGGAAUUCCGAGUGUAGAGGUGAAAUUCGUAGAUAUUCGGAAGAACACCAGUGGCGAAGGCGGCCCGCUGGGCAGUGGCUGACGCUGAGGCGCGACAGCGUGGGGAGCAAACAGG